GCUCUGUUCGGCCAGCGGGUCAGGCCAUCUCCCUUUCAAGGAGACUGCAGGGGUUCGAAUCCCCUACAGAGCA
rnacentral:tRNA from 2 species